GAUGAACGUUGGCGGUGUGCCUAAUACAUGCAAGUCGAACGGAGUCAGUAGCAAUAUUGGCUCAGUGGCGAACGGGUGAGUAACGCGUUGGUGAUCUGCCUUGAAGUGUGGAAUAACGUUUCGAAAGAGACGCUAAUACCGCAUGUGCUCUCGAUUUUUAGAAAGUUGAGAGUAAAGGAUUUAUUCGCUUCAAGAGGAGCCUGCGUCCCAUCAGCUGGUUGGUAGGGUAACGGCCUACCAAGGCUAUGACGGGUAGGGGACCUGAGAGGGUGGCCCCCCACAAUGGAACUGAAACACGGUCCAUACACCUACGGGUGGCAGCAGUAGGGAAUAUUAGAAAUGGACGAAAGUCUGAUCUAGCAACACCGCGUGUGCGAAGAAGGCCUUCGGGUCGUAAAGCUCUGUCUGGAGGGACGAACAAAAUGACGGUACCUCCGGAGGAAGCCACGGCUAACUACGUG
rnacentral:rRNA from 1 species